rnacentral:rRNA from 1 species
UNUGACUUGAGUGCAGAAGGGGAGAGUGGAAUNCCAUGUGUAGCGGUGAAAUGCGUAGAUAUAUGGAGGANCACCAGUGGCGAAAGCGGCUCUCUGNUCUGUCACUGACGCUGAGGCUCGAAAGCGUGGGUAGCGANCAGGAUUAGAUACCCUGGUAGUNCACGCCGUAAACGAUGAGUGCUAGGUGUUAGGCCCUUUCCGGGGCUUAGUGCCGGAGCUAACGCAAUAAGCACUCCGCCUGGGGAGUACGACCGCAAGGUUGAAACUCAAAGGAAUUGACGGGGGCCCGCACAAGCGGUGGAGCAUGUGGUUUAAUUCGAAGCAACGCGAAGAACCUUACCAGGUCUUGACAUCCCGAUGCUAUUCUUAGAGAUAGGAAGUUACUUCGGUACAUCGGAGACAGGUGGUGCAUGGUUGUCGUCAGCUCGUGUCGUGAGAUGUUGGGUUAAGUCCCGCAACGAGCGCAACCCUUAUUGUUAGUUGCCAUCAUUAAGUUGGGCACUCUAGCGAGACUGCCGGUAAUAAACCGGAGGAAGGUGGGGAUGACGUCAAAUCAUCAUGCCCCUUAUGACCUGGGCUACACACGUGCUACAAUGGUCGGUACAACGAGUUGCGAGCCGGUGACGGCAAGCUAAUCUCUGAAAGCCGAUCUCAGUUCGGAUUGGAGGCUGCAACUCGCCUCCAUGAAGUCGGAAUCGCUAGUAAUCGCGGAUCAGCACGCCGCGGUGAAUACGUUCCCGGGCCUUGUACACACCGCCCGCCACACCACGAGAGUUUGUAACACC